CCCACCCGCCACCCACACUCGCCUCCGCAGCCCGGCCCCGAGCGAGCUCUUGGCGGGAGCCCGGGGCUCCGGGGUGGGGGUGGGCAGAAGCGGACAGCAGGGCGGUGGGACCAGCCUGGGCCACGAGUCAUACUGGGUUCCCAGGAAGCCUCUGCCUCAAAUCUUCCCUGCUGAAAGCUGGGUGUUCCCUGUCGUCCUGGAAACAUAUGCUGGGGAAACAGCUUAAUGGUUAUGCAAAAGAUUCCUGCCUGAGGCUCUAAACUCCCAGGUUCAAUCCCCAGCACAUCCAUCAACCGGAGCUGAGCAGUGCUCUGGUGUUCCUGUGUCUUUCUCUCUGUACCAAUCUUAUUAAAAUAAAAAUAUUUUUAAAAAAUGAAGUUAUAAAA